GCGUUUGAAGUCAGUCACAUCUGUUGGGGUUCAGCCUGGCUUCUGCCUGGUGUAUUUCCUUUCCGAUGGGUCAGCAUCAGUUUCGACCGAGGGAAAAAGACAUUUGGAAUGUGGCUGUCUUCGGGCAGUGUUAUAGCCUUGUGUUGUAUGUCUCGGUUGGGACUGAGGAUUGCAGCGCGCCAUAAAUGGCCGGGGGUCGCUCCUCUCGACACGCGCUUAGGAUGCUGGCAUAAUGGCUUUAAGCGACCCGUCUUGAAACACGGACCAAGGAGUC
rnacentral:rRNA from 1 species